rnacentral:rRNA from 1 species
GACGAACGCUGGCGGCGUGCUUAACACAUGCAAGUCGAACGGAAAGGCCCUGCUUGCAGGGUACUCGAGUGGCGAACGGGUGAGUAACACGUGGGUGAUCUGCCCUGCACUUCGGGAUAAGCCUGGGAAACUGGGUCUAAUACCGGAUAGGAGCCAUUUUUAGUGUGAUGGUUGGAAAGUUUUUUCGGUGUAGGAUGAGCUCGCGGCCUAUCAGCUUGUUGGGGGGGUAAUGGCCUACCAAGGCGGCGACGGGUAGCCGGCCUGAGAGGGUGGACGGCCACACUGGGACUGACAGACGGCCCAGACUCCGACGGGAGGCAGAAGUGGGGAAUAUUGCACAAUGGGCGCAAGCCUGAUGCAGCGACGCCGCGUGGGGGAUGACGGCCUUCGGGUUGUAAACUCAUUUCGCUAGGGACGAAGCUUUUUGUGACGGUACCUAGAGAAGAAGCACCGGCUAACUACGUG